ensembl:lncRNA
AUGCACAGAGCCAAUUCAGAUUCAUCUGCCGGGAGCAAAACGUCCCAAAACAGAGGAUCAGGAGCAGAUGGUGAGGAUCAAACGAGGCAUGCGGAGCAGCCUACUGGGACACGUGUGUGGGCCACUUUACUGAACACCAUCUCUAAUGCUCAGCCACUUCUGAUCACCAAUCACGGUACUGAGGAAUCUAGACCAAGGAAAGAUUCCUUGCUUCAGAAGAGAUCACUUUUAGAGUCUGAUAGCGGUCUGGCAUGGACUGUCCUGUGGGUUUUCAGAUGUCGGUACAGACCGGCCCAACUUAACAUUGUACAUAUGGCUCAUCAGCUGGAAGAAGUUGAGAUCUGCCGGAAAUAUGUCCUGGAGCAGGUGUCUAGAUUGCCUCAACGUGAAUCUAGUGCAGGACGCUCUACAGAGCUUGAGCUGAGCAUAGAGGGCAGAUGGAACAGAGUACUGCUGGAUACCUCAACCAUGGUGGAGUUCAAAAAGGCACAGCUCCAGCUGGUCACACAGUACCACCUGCAAAAACAGGUUCUCACGGAUACUCUACACAACCUGGAGGCUGAGCUCAACACAAUGACACCGGAUUGCAUUGACAGCAGCACCUUACAAGUAGAGAAGCUGAAUGUAUUCCUGAAGAACAUGCAGAAGAAGAAAGGCACACUAGAGGAGCUCCUACAGACAUGCUCUCAGAUUUCAGCCCAUCUGGGUGAGGCAGAGGGACCUGUGGCCUUCAUUGAACCUUUUAGGACUUUACAGGAGAGAUGGCAAACUAUAGAGCGGGUUGCCUCCAGCAGUCUGUGGUGUGCUAACAUCUGCACAGCAGAAGUAUCUGCACUCCUGCAAGAAGCCAGAGAUCUGCACCAUGAACUGGUGCUUCUGGAGAAGUCAGUUUCUCUUCCACAUCCCUCUCAAGGACAGAUGGACUGCCGAAGUGAGCUACAAGAAACUGUCAGAACUGCAGACCUGGCAGCAUUAACAGAGCUCUACUUAUACCUUCUUGAGGUCUCUCAGGCUCUUUCCUCAAGUCCGCUGGGAAAAAAAGAGCUCAGAGAUAUGGAGGACGCAAUGCAGGGCUUGAAUUCUCAGCUUGCGUUGACUCAGGAGAAGCUCAGCUCCCAGACUUCGAAUGGCAAUGGCUGUUCACCGAUCUCGAGGAUUAUCAAGGACUACGUUACAUGGGCUAAACAAACAGAAAGCAAAGUCAGCAGGAGUAGGAGGUUGGCUCUGUUUCCUGAAGAGGCAAGUCACCAGGUCAACCACAUGAAGAAACUGCAGUCUGAAACAUCUCUUAAGAAGAUUCAGUUGGCCUCUGUAUUGAAAGAGCUAAGAGAGGAAGUUACAGGACUCGACAAGGAGGAUUCAAUGUCUCCCAUCCUUGCUUCCCUAGAGGAUUUGUACGUUAAGAUUACAGAGAAGACCGAAUGUGCUGUUGCAGAAAUGAACAGAAUGUUUCAAAUAAGAGAGAGACUGUGGAAACAGAUCACUGACAGCAGCUCUUGGUUAACCUCAGUAUUAGAAAAAGGGUCUGGUAAAACAGUGGCUUCUAAACCUAAAACUACAAUCCCAGAAUUGAGGGUUCAGCUUCAGGUAUGCACAGAGGCUUUGAAGGAAGCCGAGAGACAAGCAAAUAACUUAGAGACUCUGUUAGAUGAAAUAAAAAAUGUGAAUCACGGUCUGAGUGUACCCGAAAGCUUUCAGCUUAUGAAUAGGCUAACAGCCUUACAAGAAGAGGUCUCUAGGGUUGUGAACCGUAAGUGGGCCUUGCACUGGGUGCUUGAAGAACUCCUUCAUGCUCAGGAAUCUUCUGCUGAGGAGCAAAACGUCAUUCUGAAGAGCUUGAGACAGAUGAGUGCUGAUGUCAUGAGGCAGAAGUAUCCCGUAACAAGGGACUCACUCUUGGCUCUUGAACCUGUUCAGCACAUCCUGAUGGAGCUCCUGUGCAAGGUGCCAGAAAUUCCACACUGCCCGGAUUCUCGGAGGAAAGAGAUGCUCAACGCUGUACUAGACCUACAGAGGAGAAUGGAUCUGCUGGAGUUGCAAGCGAAAGAUCAUGAGGAGUACCUCAUUUUAAGGCAGUACAUGGAGAACUCCAGAGAGGUGGUGAAGAAGAGCUGGUCGCAGAUUGUAGACUCAAGUGUAGGAGCUAACAUAAGGCUCGGCUAUUGUCAGGCUGUCUUAGUGGAGCUAGCUCUGGUGAGAAUGACAUGUCAAGAAGCCACUGACCACCUUGAGGCUAUUUCGAAAGAUCUCUAUCCAUCUCAGCUGACAGCAGAAAGGCAAAAAAUCCAUUUGGUCAUUGAGCAGCUCUCCUCUUGGGAGCUCACAGUAAAAAAUGAGGCUAAAACCCUUGAGUGCUCUCUGGCGGAGCGACUCGGCAGUCCUGCAGACCUCAGUCCAUUCACUGAGCUCUUCAUCAGUGUCAGGCAGCAGCUGAAGCAGAGCAUCUCCUUGGAGCCAGAUAAUGAGACCACUGAUGCAGAGCUACGCAAGCACUGGAUGCGAAUCCAGACCACUGAGUCUGUUCUACGAAUGCUGGAGCACUGCAGGAAAGCAGUAGAUGCUGAAAGCUACCAGAUGACCAUUGGUCUUGGCCAGAAAACUCUUAAUGAUUACGGUAUGCAUAUGGACAAGCUGCUCCAAGCUCGGGAGGCACUGAAGCGUUACCACUCGGCUGUUCAGGGUGCAGAGAUCUUCUUUCAGCAGAUAAGAUCCAAUCUCAUGAUCCCCUCUGAUGGCUUCAAAGGCUACAAAGAGGAGCAUCGCUAUAUUCAACAGAUUUUCAGCACUCUGGUUGAGGGUUUCCAGACCCGCUUGUCUGAAGUUGGUGCUUCUGUUCCCCAGCAGACAUGCCUCUCCAUCCCUUUAACUGAGCAGCUUCAUAUAAAGGUUUUGUGUCACCUUCUAGUACAAGAUGCCAAAUUAGAAGCUCAGGCUCAGCUCAGACUUGAGGCCUUACAGAGGUCCAUGAAAGACCAAAUUGUUCACAUGAGUCACCAUGAAGAAAUGAGCCAACUUCUCAAAAAUGUUGAUUCUCAAAUCUCUAGUCAAUGCUUAAGUCAAAAACUGGCUGAUUCCGAAGCCUGCCAAGAUCAACAGCUGAAAGUACAGGUUUGUGGUCAUUAUAUACCAUACACAGUCACUUAAUUCCAUUUUGUUUAUCAUGCAUGUUGUGAUUGGUUUAAAUGCAUUGCAGUAAUGUCUAUGGUGUUCUUAAGAUGAUUUGGGCAACCAGUGAAAACUUUGUUACGCUUCCCUUUUGAUUUCUGAAAAUCUGUUUUUCUUGGUUCCUUGUGCUACUUUUUGUCUCAUGACACUGCAAGUAUGCUAGGUCUGUACUGAAAUUGUCUUCACUUGCAGUUGCUCCAGACAGAGCUAAAGAACCUCGCUAAAAGGCUUGAGGAAUUGAGGGAAAGUUGCCCAGGUCUACGCUGCAAAGCACCUGUGGAUCUGAUGCUGGGACAGCUGUGGAGGUCUUGGGCAGUGCUGCAGUGGAGAGUAGAAUCACUCAAAGCCAGCACGUCUCAUAAAGAAGCAGAGUGGAGAGACUUUGUGAUGCGUGUAUGUAAAAAUAGAUUUUAUUUAAUUGUUUUAUUUUAUUCAUUUCUUUUUCACCUUGUUAAAAAUGUAAUUUCCUUAUAAAAUGAUUAAUGAAGUGAGCUGUUCGUUAACUUGUUUCUCUUCAUGUCUGGGUCUGCUGUGCAGCUGAAUAAAUCAAAGAAAGGUCUUGACA